UACGUAGGGGGCAAGCGUUAUCCGGAUUUACUGGGUGUAAAGGGAGCGUAGACGGCAGUGCAAGUCUGGAGUGAAAGGCGGGGGCUCAACCCCCGGACUGCUCUGGAAACUGUACGGCUGGAGUGCAGGAGAGGUAAGUGGAAUUCCUAGUGUAGCGGUGAAAUGCGUAGAUAUUAGGAGGAACACCAAUGGCGAAGGCGGCUUACUGGACUGUAACUGACGUUGAGGCUCGAAAGCGUGGGGAGCAAACAGG
rnacentral:rRNA from 1 species